AUGUCUGAUGUCUGAUGUCUGAGUCAGUCUGAGAGUCCGAGUAUUUGUGGUGUGUGUAUUUGAGUGUAUUUUUGGGACCCAUGGAUGGACGCAUCCUCGGUGUUGUUUUUUCCCGCUGAUCGCCUGCUUUUCUCCUGGUCCAAAGAUUGCCCAGAUGUCCCCUCCCAUUGCGCCCCAGAAGCGGCAGGAUAGGAUGAUGCAAACAGAGAUCACGUGAACAAGUGUCCUACUUGACCAAACUGGAAAGUUAUAUUACAUCCUCCUGCCUGGUUUCAGCACAGAAGAUCUCCACCUUCUGUUUGUCCCCCACUCAGCGUAAGACACAGACUGAUAGCCCUGUGUGGGCUGCCCAACAAGAUACUAACUUGCUGUAUACACGUGUGUGCUACUAACUGUGCUAACUGAAGUUUGAGUGCAUUAAUAACCUGACACAUUGCUGUGUUUGAACUUUGAAUAGACUACUAACAUACAUGUGUUCUCAUUACAACGUUAUAAUAUCUUUACCAGCCUAGUGUUAGCACCGAAGACCGCCACGUUUCUUUUCUCUUUUUAUUAUAGACGGUAUGUGAUACAGGUUGACAUCACACUACAGGGGCUUCUAACUUAUCUUGUGUUUGACAGACUGACGAGUGCGCUUAAAUUGUGCUGACUGAAGUUUGACUUUUGGAAUGAUCUGAUUAAUCAUUAUACUUUGAUUCUAUCUACAUAUUUUUUUUUGGAAUUAUGUCUUAUAAGUGAGCUCUUCUGGGCUAAAUAUUUGUAAUUUUUUUCUUUAAUAACCAUGGAUAUGGAUCAAGAAUUAACUGAGUGCUUUGUGUUUGAGGAUCUUACUAAGACUCUGGAUACCUCAACUAACACAUUACAAACCUGGCUAAAAGAUGCAGAACAGAACUUGGACAGUCUUUUUGUACAAAUGGAUCAACUAAGAAAGAAAGACAUUAGAUUGGAGAUGGAUAUAAAAACUUUCCUCUUCUACCAAAAGAGGGAACACAUACCCAGAGACUUAAGAAUUAAGAAAUUUUCAUCUUUUCAUGUAACAUGUUUAGAAUUUAUUGAUAAGUGGAAUGCUGCAUUAACUAAAUGUUCACAAACACUCA